AUUGAACGCUGGCGGCAUGCCUUACACAUGCAAGUCGAACGGCAGCACGGAGCUUGCUCUGGUGGCGAGUGGCGAACGGGUGAGUAAUAUAUCGGAACGUACCCAAGAGUGGGGGAUAACGUAGCGAAAGUUACGCUAAUACCGCAUACGAUCUAAGGAUGAAAGCAGGGGAGUCUUCGGACCUUGUGCUCCUGGAGCGGCCGAUAUCUGAUUAGCUAGUUGGUGAGGUAAAGGCUCACCAAGGCAUCGAUCAGUAGCUGGUCUGAGAGGACGACCAGCCACACUGGAACUGAGACACGGUCCAGACUCCUACGGGAGGCAGCAGUGGGGAAUUUUGGACAAUGGGGGCGAACCCUGAUCCAGCAAUGCCGCGUGAGUGAAGAAGG
rnacentral:rRNA from 1 species